CCUACGGGAGGCAGCAGUGGGGAAUCUUGCGCAAUGGGCGAAAGCCUGACGCAGCAACGCCGCGUGCGGGAAGAAGGCCUUCGGGUUGUAAACCGCUUUCAGCAGGAACGAAAAUGACGGUACCUGCAGAAGAAGGAGCGGCCAACUACGUGCCAGCAGCCGCGGUGACACGUAGGCUCCAAGCGUUGUCCGGAUUUAUUGGGCGUAAAGAGCUCGUAGGCGGUUCAGUAAGUCGGGUGUGAAAACUCUGGGCUCAACCCAGAGCCUGCAUUCGAAACUGCUGUGACUAGAGUUUGGUAGGGGANCGGGGAAUUCCUAGUGUAGCGGUGAAAUGCGCAGAUAUUAGGAGGAACACCGGUGGCGAAAGCGCCGCUCUGGGCCAAUACUGACGCUGAGGAGCGAAAGCGUGGGUAGCAAACAGGAUUAGAUACCCUGGUAGUCCACGCCGUAAACGAUGGGCACUAGGUGUGGGUUUCAACUAACGAAAUCCGUGCCGUCGCUAACACAUAAGUGCCCGCCGUCGGGAGGUACGGUCGCGAACGAACGUAAAACCGUAACGAAAGGAAAGUUAGACGGAACGUGAGACGUUAGUCCGAACGGACGACGACGAGGGGAGGAGGGAG
rnacentral:rRNA from 1 species